CCUACGGGAGGCAGCAGUGAGGAAUAUUGGUCAAUGGGCGAGAGCCUGAACCAGCCAAGCCGCGUGAAGGAUGACGGCCCUACGGGUUGUAAACUUCUUUUGUCAGGGAGCAACUGGGUCCACGCGUGGGCUUAGCGAGAGUACCUGAAGAAAAAGCAUCGGCAAACUCAGUGCCAGCAGCCGCGGUAAUACGGAGGAUGCGAGCGUUAUCCGGAUUUAUUGGGUUAAAGGGGUGCGUAGGCGGAAUAUCAAGUCAGCGGUAAAACUUCGGGGCUCAACCCCGUCGUGCCGUUGAAACUGAUGUUCUUGAGUGGGCGAGAGGUAUGCGGAAUGCGUGGUGUAGCGGUGAAAUGCAUAGAUAUCACGCAGAACUCCGAUUGCGAAGGCAGCAUACCGGCGCCCAACUGACGCUGAAGCACGAAAGCGUGGGUAUCGAACAGGAUUAGAUACCCUAGUAGUC
rnacentral:rRNA from 1 species